UCAGACUGUACCACAAUCUUUUAAAAGACUAUUUUAUAACUUAAAAGUAUCUCAUUCAAUUAACGGAUGUCUAGGAAGAGCAAUAUUUAACAGUCAAGAACACCUAGACCAAUGUUGGAAUGAACAAAACAACCAUUGUUUUCCAGUCCAGCUCCCAAAUUCCAAAGGCUUGGAUAUGCAAACCAACUUGGGGAGGUAUUCCUGACACGAGUUUCUCCAAUCACUCAUUAUGAUCUGCAGCUACCACCAAUCAAAGAGGACAACACAUGUCUAGCCAUACGAUGUCUGGAUAGUUGAAGUGCCUCAUCAUCACCAAGUCCUGUUCUUCAGAUGAUUUUGUUAGCUGUUUAAAAAAUGGAGCUUAUUAACUGCUCUGUACUAGACUCGAAAACAAUAUAAUAUGUAUUU